AGGGUCUUACUAUGUAGUCCUAGCUAACCUAGAUCAUGCUGGACUCAGAAAUAUACCUGCCUCUGCCUCUCCAAUUCUGGAAUCAGAAGUCUGUGCCUAAGCUGGACUUGUUUUUAAAAUGUUUUCACCGUUGCUGGCCAGCGCACCUCUGUACAGGCAACAAAACGAAAAUACUUUAUGGGUGAAUUUGGAUCUGUUCCUAUGGUCGCAAUUAAUUUCCCUAACGAAGCUUGCCAGCAUCCUAGGAGACAGUGAGAGCGUCUCCUCUAGUCCUGAAUGUGGUGCUUUCCUCACCGGAACAGUUGGUGAAGCAAUUGCGUAAGUUAAGUUCAGAUACAAUGUUUUACUUAUUGACCCCCAUUGUGUAUGGGCUUCGUUGCAUAUUAAGAAACCAUGGCCCUAAGGAAAUGCUUGUUCGUGCUUGACGCAUUGCUAAAUUCACAAUACGCAAAGUGUACUAGAAAGAUAAAUAGAGAUAGCACUUAUCUCUGGAGGCCCAAAGUUACCUCUCUUUCUUAUCAGUAUAAGAUAACAUAUGUAAAGGACAGACAGUUGUCGAUUCAAACACCCGUGGUCUGUGUGCUCUUCCCAAUGAGUGUCUGCUGUGAGGAGAGGGCUCCGUACAUCUCUUUUAGGUAUAAUUCAGUUCUGGUAUUCAAGUGUCCUCCUUGCCCAUUGUCUCUGUUCAUAUGUUCUGCCCAUUGCUGAGCGUAAGGCAAUGAAUCCCUAAAUUGUCAGUGUAGAACUGUUUUUCCCACUGUAAACUCUGUGGAAUUUCAUUAUUUUAUUUAACGGCUAUGUGCUUAAAUUUGUUAUAUCUCGUUGAUCAGUAGACUUUUCUAUCAGUCUAUAAUGUACCUUUCCCCUUGCGUGUCACGUUAUAAAAAUUUUAAUUCCUUUUUUUAAAUUUUUCACAUUUUCCUCACCUAGUCCACCUGUGAUAUAUUUUUAUAUAUUUUUUAUAUGUUGGGGUGGUUUGCACGAGGCGUGGCUUCCCCACGGGCUCAGGUAUUUGAGCGUAUGGCUUCCAGCUGGUGGCACUGUUUUUGUGAGGUCGUGGAGCCGGAAAGAGAGGGAGCAUCGUUCGAGGAAGCGUGACAUUUGGGGCAGGCUUGGAGGGUCUAUGACCUUGCUCCACUUCCGGUUCGUCCUGUCCGCUUCAUUCUUAAGGUUGAAGGCGGGCCCUUUGAGCCUCGUGCUCCGGCCACAUGCUUCGGAGUCUCCCCGCUCCGGUCGUUAUGGACUCCCCUCUGGAGAUUACUCGUCCCACCGGAACUCGUCAGUUGUGGCGUUUCGUCACAGCCACAAAAAGUGCCUCACACACACAGGUAGAACGGACCUGCGUUCAUUUUGGUCCUAAGUUGGUUAAGUCCGCGUCUCUUGAUUUUUAGGUUAAAGCAGCAGAAUGUUUGCACACACGUUACGCCAUGGAUGGGUGUGUUUCUAGCUAGCAUUUGCUCCUCACUAUACGCAUUCCUUGGAACAAAUUCCAAAAGGAGAAGUUGUUGAGCCACAGAGCGUACACAGUGUACAGAAGCGCGUUCUUCCCGUAAGGUUCUGUUGGCUUGGACGUAGUGUGGCAGGUCAUAGAGGGAGCUUAGUUCGACCAUAUUCACCCCAACCUCGCUGUCUCCCUUAGGCAUCCCUCCCACUUCUCUGCCGGUCUCUUGCCUUCCUCUCCCAUCUGCUUUCAUGGGGCGCACGUAGGACCCCCAAAUGAGAAAAAUAUACGACAUUUAUCUUUAUCUUAUUUCAUUUAGUAUGAUCUCUAAAUAAAAAGUUUUUUUUUUGUUGUUCCUACCAAAAUACACCCCAUAAUUUUAUUCUUUUUCACGGCAGGCUAAAGUUCCGUUGUGUAUUCAUGCCACAUUUUCUUCAUCUGUCCCGUUGAUGGACACUUGGCUGAUUCCACGACGCGGGUGGUGCGAUUACAGCAGUGCCACCGUCCACAUGGACGUUUAGACGUCUCUGUGGCGUCGUCUCAGAGCCCCGGAGCUACAUACCCGGAAGUGGUGUAACUCGGUCACGGAGUUCUACGUGAGGGUUUUGAAGAGUCCGCGAGUCUGCCUUCCCACCAGUUUGCACAAUAAUUCCCUUUCCCCCUCAACCAUACAAUCCCCUGUCAUGGGGUGAGCCGAUGGCAGCCAGCCUGACUAUGGAGAGAUGCGCUCCCAAAGCAGUUUUGAUUUGCAUUCCCCUGAUGGUCGAGGAUGUUGUGCAUUUUUCGUAUGUUAUUGGGUAUUUCUGUUUUAUCUUUGAGAACGAUCCGUUCCUUGUUACACUUUAAAACUUAAACCCAUACAGCGUGGCAUUGGUAUCUCUACCCUAACUCCUUGGAACGUCUUCCAUUUUCACCCUGCUUGUGGCCUGAAUCUAAAGUCUCUCGGAAGCAGCGAACUGUAUAGUUGGGUCAUGUUUACAAACCAUUCUGGGGGUUGAGGGCGCGGCUCAGUAGGUACAGUAUUAGCUUUGCACAUGCGAGGCUCUGGGUUUAGUCCCCAGCACUAUACAGUACUGGUGUGGCGGUGCGUUCCUUUGCCUGUAA
rnacentral:sRNA from 1 species